GAUGCUGAAAUCCCGAGCAAAAACCAAAGUGUUGGAGUAACUCAGCGGGUCAGACAUCAUCUAUGGAAUGAAUGGCCAGACGACGCUUCAGGUGGCUUUCUUUC